GGUGGUAUAUCUCAGUGGUUGAGCACUUGCCUAGCCUGUGCAAGGCCCUGGGUUCAAUCCUCAGUACUACCA
rnacentral:tRNA from 1 species